UGGAGCAACGCCGCGUGAGCGAUGAAGGCCUUCGGGUCGUAAAGCUCUGUUGUUAGGGAAGAACAAGUGCGAGAGUAACUGCUCGCACCUUGACGGUACCUAACCAGAAAGCCACGGCUAACUACGUGCCAGCAGCCGCGGUAAAACGUAGGAGGCAAGCGUUAUCCGGAUUCACUGGGCGUAAAGCGCGUGCAGGCGGUUCGGUAAGUUGGGCGUGAAAUCUCCUGGCUUAACUAGGAGAGGUCGUCCAAUACUACCGGGCUCGAGAGUGGUAGAGGAAGAUGGAAUUCCCGGUGUAGUGGUGAAAUGCGUAGAUAUCGGGAGGAACACCAGUGGCGAAAGCGAUCUUCUGGACCAUUUCUGACGCUCAGACGCGAAAGCUAGGGUAGUAAACGGGAUUAGAGACCCCGGUAAUCCUAGCCGUAAACGAUGUAGACUUGGCGUCGGUGGCUUAAACACCAUCGGUGCCGCAGCAAACGCGAUAAGUCUACCGCCUGGGGACUACGAUCGCAAGAUUA
rnacentral:rRNA from 1 species